GAUGAACGCUGGCGGCGUGCCUAAUACAUGCAAGUCGAGCGAACGGACGAGAAGCUUGCUUCUCUGAUGUUAGCGGCGGACGGGUGAGUAACACGUGGAUAACCUACCUAUAAGACUGGGAUAACUUCGGGAAACCGGAGCUAAUACCGGAUAAUAUUUUGAACCGCAUGGUUCAAAAGUGAAAGACGGUCUUGCUGUCACUUAUAGAUGGAUCCGCGCUGCAUUAGCUAGUUGGUAAGGUAACGGCUUACCAAGGCAACGAUGCAUAGCCGACCUGAGAGGGUGAUCGGCCACACUGGAACUGAGACACGGUCCAGACUCCUACGGGAGGCAGAAGUAGGGAAUCUUCCGCAAUGGGCGAAAGCCUGACGGAGCAACGCCGCGUGAGUGAUGAAGGUCUUCGGAUCGUAAAACUCUGUUAUUAGGGAAGAACAUAUGUGUAAGUAACUGUGCACAUCUUGACGGUACCUAAUCAGAAAGCCACGGCUAACUACGUG
rnacentral:rRNA from 1 species